AAAAAAAAGAAUGUAACUAUGAUGAUGAAAUAAAAAACAGAUAUAAAGUAAAAAACAAUUUAACUCAAGCUUCACAUUUUGAGAUUGCAUUCAAUUCCGAGAAGAGAGUAGAAAUACAGACUGACCAGAAGGUGGCAGCCUACAGCCUCAGUAUUGGCCUUGGACAAGACAACAGUGACGUUAGCAGUUUAAAUACAUGCAGGCAGAUGAGCACAAUACCUUGAUGAUCCUGUCUCCUGUCUGAACACCUGCUCGCAUAGCAGCACCAUCUGGGGAACAAAGACGGAGAAGAGCAAAGAGAAAAAAAAGGAGAACAGUGUGCAACGUUUUUUGAGACUUGAUGGACCCCACAUCAUCUUAUACAGACAGAGAAAGACUGCGGGAAACCACAUAAGUAUCCUGUCAGAUCCCCCCCCUGUAAAAACGCAACACUGUAAAGCAGAAGCUGCAGCUACAGGGAAACUACUAAGGAGGAAAUGUACAGUGAAAGGCUCUGCUUCUCUAAUUUUCUUACCUUCUUUGACAAGCUGCACAAACACUGGGUUGUCGCCGCUGACGGUGAGCCCAAAGCCGUUUUCAUCUUUCUGGAUGAUCACACAUCGCUGGACCAGACCUGCAAGUGAGGAGAACGACAGACACA